rnacentral:rRNA from 1 species
GCCUAGCCCUAAACCUUGGCAAUAUAUCACAUACCCUGCCCGCCUGGGAACUACGAGCAUCAGCUUAAAACCCAAAGGACUUGGCGGUGCUUUAGACCCCCCUAGAGGAGCCUGUUCUAGAACCGAUAACCCCCGUUCAACCUCACCCUUCCUUGUUUAUCCCGCCUAUAUACCGCCGUCGUCAGCUUACCCUGUGAAGGCCUAAAAGUAAGCACAACUGGCAAAACCCAAAACGUCAGGUCGAGGUGUAGCGCAUGGAGGGGGAAGAAAUGGGCUACAUUCCCUACAAUAGGGAACACGAAUGGUGCACUGAAAUACGCACCUGAAGGAGGAUUUAGUAGUAAGCGGGAAAUAGCGUGUUCCGCUGAAAUCGGCCCUGAAGCGCGC